AUUGAACGCUGGCGGCGUGCCUAAUACAUGCAAGUCGAACGCAGUGGGGACGGGUGCGUAACACGUGGGUAACCUCACAUAAGAGGGGAUAACACUUGGAAACAGGUGCUAAACCGAUACUGAUGGAUGGACUCGCGGUGCAUUAGCUAGUUGGUGAGGUAACGGCUCACCAAGGCCACGAUGCAUAGCCGACCUGAGAGGGUGAUCGGCCACACUGGGACUGAGACACGGCCCAGACUCCUACGGGAGGCAGCAGUAGGGAAUCUUCGGCAAUGGACGAAAGUCUGACCGAGCAACGCCGCGUGAGUGAAGAAGGUUUUCGGAUCGUAAAACUCUGUUGUUAGAGAAGCGGUAUCUAACCAGAAAGCCACGGCUAACUACGUGCCAGCCGCCGCGGUAAUUC
rnacentral:rRNA from 1 species